UGUUCGGAGUCCCUUCUUUAUGUUUCUGAUCUGGUUUCUUUCCAUUUCUGGAUUUUUUUGUUUCUACUUUUACUACUACUCAAGAAUAUGUAACUUAAUAAUAUAUUAUCAACUCUUUAUUUCCCUUGGCACUACUUAUGUGACACCAGUAUAUUUCCAGAAUGGCAUUCCUGUCCGAUUAUUUUUAGAGAUGAAAAUAGGCUACAAAGUUCUUUGUAAACAUUAAUGCAAAACUCAACAGAGGAACCUGAAAUCAAAUGUGUGGCUAAACAAGCAUUUCUUCAAGUUUGAAUUGUUUUUUAC